rnacentral:rRNA from 1 species
UACGAAGGGGGCUAGCGUUGCUCGGAAUCACUGGGCGUAAAGGGUGCGUAGGCGGGUCUUUAAGUCAGAGGUGAAAUCCUGGAGCUCAACUCCAGAACUGCCUUUGAUACUGAGGGUCUUGAGUUCGGGAGAGGUGAGUGGAACUGCGAGUGUAGAGGUGAAAUUCGUAGAUAUUCGCAAGAACACCGGUGGCGAAGGCGGCUCUCUGGGCCGUAACAGACGCUGAGGAGCGAAAGCGUGGGUAGCGAACAGG